rnacentral:rRNA from 1 species
UACGGGGGGGGCAAGCGUUGUUCGGAAUUACUGGGCGUAAAGGGCUCGUAGGUGGCCAACUAAGUCAGACGUGAAAUCCCUCGGCUUAACCGGGGAACUGCGUCUGAUACUGGAUGGCUUGAGAUUGGGAGAGGGAUGCGGAAUUCCAGGUGUAGCGGUGAAAUGCGUAGAUAUUAGGAGGAACACCGGUGGCGAAGGCGCCUGACUGGACAAUAACUGACGCUGAGGCACGAAAGCGUGGGGAUCAAACAGG